UACGUAGGGCGCAAGCGUUAUCCGGAAUUAUUGGGCGUAAAGAGCUCGUAGGCGGUUUGUCGCGUCUGCCGUGAAAGUCCGGGGCUCAACUCCGGAUCUGCGGUGGGUACGGGCAGACUAGAGUGAUGUAGGGGAGACUGGAAUUCCUGGUGUAGCGGUGAAAUGCGUAGAUAUCUGGAGGAACACCGGUGGCGAAGGCGGCAUCCUGGACCGACACUGACGCUGAGGAGCGAAAGCCAGGGGAGCAAACGGG
rnacentral:rRNA from 1 species